GGGGGCUCUCAUUCACAACUUUAUGAUCUUUUGUCACUCUUGAGAGUGCCGAGACCUGACCAGACUCUUCACAAGGACCAGCAACUCUUGCAGAAGUUUCCCCUGCUCCGGCACCUGCGUUGUCAGCGGUAGCAGUGCCACUGCCUCUUCAGUUCGGUAGCUAUGCAGAGCAGUGUUGCAAGGCAGCCUGAGAGCGGGCUGCUGAGCUUGGUAAGCAGGAAGUACAGGCCAAGGAGCAGCUCUGGCGUCAUUUCUGGUGACCUGAUACAGCUUCUGAGAAAUCUCUGACAAAGUAGGGGACAUCGCCUGCCUUGAAAGGGAUCAUACGAUUGGGAUUACUGGGACCAUCACCUAUUUUGUCAUGCUGCCGUGGCAUUCCAGACAGCGAAAAUUCUUGAGUAGUCGGGUCUGCAAAUUGAGGCGAAAUGAUUAGAGUAAGAACAUCAUGGAAUAAGUAAUUCCACUAUUUAUUGAUAACCCAAGCAAUCAGAUAUUUGCAAGGACAUACUCAGUGACUGAAGAUCUAGGUCUUCAGUUGUCUCCCUAGGACGCUUGUUUCUUAUUGAUGAUUGCAGGGGUACAUUAAUGGUUGAUGCAGAAGCAGCACCAUCAGCCGGUUCAAUUUCCCAAGGAGAAACCCUCUCAGAACAUGACCAUUGCGGAGAAAGAGCCCCAUCGCCAACUAUAGUUCCAGAAAACCUGCAGGUACAUGGCAGCCAUGUGAAAAAUGAGAUGAUGGCAGAACAUGAGCAAAAGACUGAAAGAGGAAUAUAUGCGACCAGAGGUUGAACCCUUACUUCUUCACAGGGGCAAUGUUGACGUAGAUAGAGAUGAAGGGUGGAGGUGGAUGAUGUGGUGCCCACCGCGGAAGCAAGAAAAGCUAGCAGGCAUCUGAUCUAUGCUUUGUGUAGGGGAUUUGGAAGGAGCGAAAGCGUAGGAUUUUUGGUGUGAAGGCACUCCCAGCCCUUGACGCGGCAUAUUUGAUUUGGGAAGAGAUUGACACGUACUCCAUGCUGACUCGGGAGACAAGGCUAGCUUUUAUUUCCUUAUUUUUUAUUCUUCUACUCUCCCCUCUCCUCCCCGGGGCCCUUGCUCAGGACCCAUGUACACUUAUGUUACCUUUUUAAUCGAAGGACAGAACCGACCGUACUGUGUAAAUUAAUGGUCUCUCUUCUGCUUUCCUUAAUCAUUAGCUAGUACCAGAUGCAUUUUGUAAGUUUGAGAUCAACUAAAGCAUCUUUGCAUCUU